rnacentral:lncRNA from 1 species
UAUUUGUCUUUCUCUUUCUGACUUGUUUCACUUAGUAUGAGAGUCUCUAGUUCCAUCCAUGUUGCUGCAAAUGGCAAUAUUUUCUUCUUUUUUAUAGCUGAGUAGUAUUCCAUUGUGUAUUAUACCACAUCUUCUUAAUGCAUUUAUCUGUUGAUGGACAUUUAGGUUGUUUCCAUGUCUUGGCUGUUGUGAAUAGUGCUGCAAUGAACAUACAGGUGCAUAUGUCUUUUUCAAGGAAAGUUUUGGAUAUAUGCCCAAGAAUGGGAUUGCUGGAUCAUAUGGUAGUUCUAUAUUUAGUUUUCUGAGGUACCUCCAUACUGUUUCCAUAGUGGUUUUACCAAUUUACAUUUCCCCCAACAGUGUAGGAGCGUUCCCUUUUCACCAUACCCUCUCCAGCAUUUUUUAUUUGUGGACUUAUUAAUGAUGGCCAUUCUGACUGGUGUGAGGUGGUACCUCAUGGUAGUUUUGAUUUGCAUUUCUCUAAUAAUCAGUGACGUUUAGCAUUUUUUCAUGAGCCUGUUGGCUAUCUGUAUAUCUUCUUUGGAGAAAUGUCUAUUCAGAUCUUUGACCAUUUUUCCAUUGGGUUGUUGGCUUUUUUGCUGUUGAGUUGUAUAAGUUGCUUGUAUAUUGUAGUGAUUAAGCCCUAGUCAGUUGCAUCAUUUGAAACUAUUUUCUCCCAUUCUGUAAGUUGUCUUUUUGUUUUCUUUUGGGUUUCCUUUGCUGUGCAAAAGCUUUUCAGUUUGAUUAGGUCCCAUUGGUUUCUUUUUUCUUUUAUUUCUGUUGCCUUGGGAGACUGACCUGAGAAAACAUUUGUAAGGUUGAUGUCAGAAAAUGUUUUGCCCAUGUUCUCUUCUAGGAGUUUGAUGGUGUCUUGUCUUAUGUUUAAGUCUUUCAGCCAUUUUGAAUUUAUUAUUGUGCAUAGUAUGAGGAUGUGUUCCAGUUUCAUUAAUUUACAUGCUGCUGUCCGGUUUUCCCAGUACCACUUGCUGCAAAGACUGUCUUUUCCCAUUUUAUAGUCUUGCCUCCUGUGUUAAAGAUUAAUUGACCAUAGGUGUCUAGGUUUAUUUAUGGGUCCUCUAUUCUGUUCCAUUGGUCUGUAUGUCUGUUUUGGUACCGGUACUACACUCUCUUAAUUACUGUGGCUUUGUAAUAUUGCCUGAAGUCUGGUUGAGUUAUGCCUCCUGAUUGUUUUUUUGUUCCUCAGGAUUGGUUUGGCAAUUCUGGGUCUUUUAUGGUUCCAUGUAAAUUUUGGAUUGUUUCUUCUCAUUCUGUGAAAAAAUGUCAUGGGUAAUUUGAUACAGGCCCAUGCCAAGAUAUAUAAUAAAAAUGGAAAAAGUUAAAGAGAGGAUUCUAAAUGCAACACGAGAAAGACAAAGUGUUAAUUAUAAAGGAACCCCCAUAAGGCUAUCAGCUAAUUUCUCUAUGGAAACACUACAGGCCAGAAGAGAGUAGCAAGAUAUAUUCACAGAUCUAAGAGGGAAAAAUUUACAGCCUAGAAUACUCUACCCAGAAAGAAUAUCAUUUAAAAUAGAAGCGUCUGUUUUUUAAAAUGCAUCUAUAACAACACAAAGUUUCGUGGCACACAAAGAAAUUGGAAAACAUGAUCCAGUGGAAGGAAAACAAUAAAUCUCCAGAAACCAACCCUAAAGAAUUGGAGAUAUAUGGUUAACCUUAAAAAUAAUUAAGAAUAACUAUCAUAAAGACACUCAACAAACUUGGGAAAAUGAAGCAUGAACAAAGUGAAAAUAUCUACAAAGAAUUAAAAAUUUGAAAAAAUCAAACUAAUUGACAUUUUGGAGCUGAAGAGCACAAAAACUAAACUGAAAAAUUUGUUAUAUUAGUUCCAAAGUAGACAUGAUCAAGCAGAAGAAAGAAUCAGUGACCUCAAGACAGUUCACUUGAAAUUAUCUAGAUAAAGGAGCAUAAGACGAAUGAAAAUGAAUAAAGAAAUCCUGGAACUUAUGGGAUACCAACAAGCAGAAUAGUAUAUGCAUUAUAGGUGUCUCAGAAGGGGAAUAAAGAGCAAAAAGACACAAAAUUUAUUUGAAAAAUAAUGGGAAAAAAAACCCCAAAUGUGGGAAAGGUAGUGGACAUCCAAAUUCAAGAAGCUCAAAACAUUCCAGCGAAGAUGAACACAGAGUCCACACCAAGACACGUUAUAAGCAAACUGUCAAAAAUUGAAGAUAAGGAAAAAAAAA